AUUGACGCUGGCGGCAGGCCUAACACCUGCCAGUCGAGCGGAUGAAGGGAGCUUGCUCCUGGAUUCAGCGGCGGACGGGUGAGGAAUGCCUAGGAAUCUGCCUGGUAGUGGGGGAUAACGUCCGGAAACGGGCGCUAAUACCGCAUACGUCCUGAGGGAGAAAGUGGGGGGUCUUCGGACCUCACGCUAUCAGAUGAGCCUAGGUCGGAUUAGCUAGUUGGUGGGGUAAAGGCCUACCAAGGCGACGAUCCGUAACUGGUCUGAGAGGAUGAUCAGUCACACUGGAACUGAGACACGGUCCAGACUCCUACGGGAGGCAGCAGUGGGGAAUAUUGGACAAUGGGCGAAAGCCUGAUCCAGCCAUGCCGCGUGUGUGAAGAAGGUCUUCGGAUUGUAAAGCACUUUAAGUUGGGAGGAAGGGCAGUAAGUUAAUACCUUGCUGUUUUGACGUUACCAACAGAAUAAGCACCGGCUAACUUCGUG
rnacentral:rRNA from 1 species